rnacentral:ncRNA from 1 species
CCUAUGGAGUGAUACAUCAAACUAAAGUAGCUUAUGUUUAUCAUAGCAAAAUAGGUCACGUUGAAAUAGGAA